AGAGUUUGAUCCUGGCUCAGGACGAACGCUGGCGGCGUGCCUAAUACAUGCAAGUCGAGCGGACAGAAGGGAGCUUGCUCCCGGAUGUUAGCGGCGGACGGGUGAGUAACACGUGGGUAACCUGCCUGUAAGACUGGGAUAACUCCGGGAAACCGGAGCUAAUACCGGAUAGUUCCUUGAACCGCAUGGUUCAAGGAUGAAAGACGGUUUCGGCUGUCACUUACAGAUGGACCCGCGGCGCAUUAGCUAGUUGGUGAGGUAACGGCUCACCAAGGCGACGAUGCGUAGCCGACCUGAGAGGGUGAUCGGCCACACUGGGACUGAGACACGGCCCAGACUCCUACGGGAGGCAGCAGUAGGGAAUCUUCCGCAAUGGACGAAAGUCUGACGGAGCAACGCCGCGUGAGUGAUGAAGGUUUUCGGAUCGUAAAGCUCUGUUGUUAGGGAAGAACAAGUGCAAGAGUAACUGCUUGCACCUUGACGGUACCUAACCAGAAAGCCACGGCUAACUACGUGCCAGCAGCCGCGGUAAUACGUAGGUGGCAAGCGUUGUCCGGAAUUAUUGGGCGUAAAGGGCUCGCAGGCGGUUUCUUAAGUCUGAUGUGAAAGCCCCCGGCUCAACCGGGGAGGGUCAUUGGAAACUGGGAAACUUGAGUGCAGAAGAGGAGAGUGGAAUUCCACGUGUAGCGGUGAAAUGCGUAGAGAUGUGGAGGAACACCAGUGGCGAAGGCGACUCUCUGGUCUGUAACUGACGCUGAGGAGCGAAAGCGUGGGGAGCGAACAGGAUUAGAUACCCUGGUAGUCCACGCCGUAAACGAUGAGUGCUAAGUGUUAGGGGGUUUCCGCCCCUUAGUGCUGCAGCUAACGCAUUAAGCACUCCGCCUGGGGAGUACGGUCGCAAGACUGAAACUCAAAGGAAUUGACGGGGGCCCGCACAAGCGGUGGAGCAUGUGGUUUAAUUCGAAGCAACGCGAAGAACCUUACCAGGUCUUGACAUCCUCUGACAACCCUAGAGAUAGGGCUUUCCCUUCGGGGACAGAGUGACAGGUGGUGCAUGGUUGUCGUCAGCUCGUGUCGUGAGAUGUUGGGUUAAGUCCCGCAACGAGCGCAACCCUUGAUCUUAGUUGCCAGCAUU
rnacentral:rRNA from 2 species